GAUCCUGGCUCAGGAUGAACGCUAGCGACAGGCCUAACACAUGCAAGUCGAGGGGCAUCAGGUAUCAGCUUGCUGAUACGCUGGCGACCGGCGCACGGGUGAGUAACGCGUAUGCAAUCUGCCUGUAACAGGGGGAUAACCCGGAGAAAUCCGGCCUAAUACCCCAUAAGGAUGUCUGUCCGCAUGGGCGGUCAUCUAAAGGUUUUCCGGUUACAGAUGGGCAUGCGUUCCAUUAG
rnacentral:rRNA from 1 species